rnacentral:misc_RNA from 1 species
AUGGGGAAUGCUUGAGCCUAAAGCCAUUUGAGUGUUACUUUGACAUAUAGGAUUGUGUUUUCUUGCAUGAGGUUAAGUUCUAGGUGUAGGAAAAAUUCUGCCUAAUUUUUAGCAUGAUCUUAAGACAUCCUUUCAAUUCUGGUGUAUUACUUAUGCAUUGUUCUUGAUAUUUGCUUACAUAUGUUUAACCAGCCUUCUUCUUCAUUCCAAUA